rfam:Gossypium arboreum cultivar AKA8401 contig_32183_5, whole genome shotgun sequence.
ACGCAGUAAGGUGGGCACUUUCACAAUAACUCCUUGAACUGCUCCAAUGCCUCAUAUAAAGAUUCUUCAUCAAGUUGCUUAAAUUAAGUGAUUUCAUUUUGGAUCUU